AGAGAGCAUGUUGUUUAAAAAAAUAAGAAGCAGGCACAAAAUAGGAGCUCUUCAGUCGGAGCUUCCUUCUCUAAUCAGUCUGCGAAUGUUUCGGGGAGUGCUCUAUUUAACUUGGCUGGCCCCGAGUUUUGCCGUGAGUAAUAUGCUGGGCUUAAUUUCAAACUCCACGCAGCCAAGAUCACUGGAUACUUGAGCUUCCCCAAGCUGAGUUGAUACAGCUGCUCUGCCCCUGGUCACUGGUGAGCUGUCCCUGAGGAUCCCAAAGAGUCUUAACAUAAACAGGGGGCCAAAACACCAUUGAAGAGGGAGUUGGCAGCUUCCAUCUUCGUAUCUCUACCAUCUGCAGGCAAACCCUGUGAAGACUGUGUCCGAUGACUACCCCACCCUCAGUCUUAAUUUUGACUCCUGUUACCUCUAACCAGGUCGCUCUCCAGACUGUGUGUCCAGGCUCCCCUGGCCCACUUACCAUCAGUACAUAAUGGCAGAUAGUCACUCCCAAAGGACAGAUCUCACCAUUCUGUUUUAAAGUAUCAGGUGGCCCCCUGCUGAAAUGCAUUGGUCUUCAAGACUCCUUACUCUUGCCUGUGGCCCACAGAAGUCUCCAUACAUUGAGACCUUCAGGCCAUCGCCUUGUCAAAUCUUAGUAUGACCUAGCCUUCCAUCAUGUUUGUGCUGGUGGGUAUUCAUCUGCAAUUACAAGACCAGUUAAGGUAUUCUUUCAAAGAUCUUUGCUAAAGGACCCCAGUCCUGCUGGUUUUCUCAUGCUUUGUAUCCCUUCUUCCCAGGGCUAUAUUAUCUGGACUAUAUCCUCACCAUAUCUUACUUAAACUUUGUCCAUUCCAUCUGCCAAUACAUUUUUGGUAUUCACUACCAGGUAUUGGACCCACAUCCUGUGGUGAGAAUCUGGCUUUUAGUCACAACCCUGCCCUGCCCCACCUGUGACCAAGAAUUACAUCCCCUGACUCAAGUAUCUGCUUUCAACCUCUGUAAAUAGAGAACUGGCUUUGCCCAGAUAGGCAGAACUCUUACCCAUUGGCUACUUCCCCAGAGCCUCAAUCCUUGACCAUUUCUGGAGAUGCAAUUUCAGGCUGGAUAGAAGGGAAGUGUUUGCCUCCUUCCUUAAACAAUAUUUGAUGGCUAAAUGGAGAACCUCACAGAUACUCACCCCAUUGACAGCAAAAGAAGAAAAGAAGUAAAUAAGGAAGUUGGAGGCAAGGAAGGAGAGGAGGUCUGAGGCGAGGACAAUGUACCAACACCCAGGACCAUGAGAGUGAGGCUGAGAGGAAAAGGUUUAGGACGAUGACUGUGCCCCACUUUCCUUAUAGGCAAGAGCCCAGACUUAACUGUGGUCAGCUAGGCCUGUGGAGAAGGAACCUUGGACAUAGGCCUGCAGCUUAGACCUCACUCCUAGGGGGUGACGAAAAUGAGGUGGUUAUUUGUUUUAUGGAAAUGGCCUCCACGAGACUCCAAACACCAAGCGGCAGUCUGCAAGGCACGAGGCAGGCUUUCCUCUGGGUGUGAGAGGAUUUCCUUGGUUUGGUGGGAUGCGUUUGUUUUUUAAAGGCGCCUGUUUAUUUUCUCUUCCUUUAAUGUUAUGAUUUUUUUUCAGACUCACGAGGAGGAGGAUACAUAAUGUACGGCCGAAUCUGCAAUCUCCUAUUUUGUCAGCUGCUUGUGUUGAUUAGAAGUUCAAUACAGAGCCUGUGAUAAAACAGAGCUAUGUUCAAAGGAUCUUGUUAUGUUUUUAAAAGGCUGAUCUUGGCAGAAAAGAUGUAGCAUACAGGCAGGCUGCCUUGCUAUGUUCCUCUUCUUCCGACAGGGAGGGAACUGAGAGAAAUGUUCAGUGUUUUCUGGAACCUAUGGGAUCUUUUACACACACUUAGCUAAGUCCCCCAAAAGGAACAAAGUUCAGCUGAAAUGAGAGGGGCCUGGGGCUGUUGGUGGGACCCACUAGCUGUCUCCUCCUGCAGCUCUGACUGACAGGCUCUCUGUGAGACAUCAGCCUAACUCAGAGAGGAGGCCAUGAAGCAAGUAAAGUCACAGAGCUCCAGGAAUUCCACACCCAGUGAUUCCCCAAACUCAGCCAAGAUGCCAUUCUAGCAAGAUCCCAUCCAACUGCCAGGAACCCAUUGCGUUAAAGACCAGGGAUCACUCAAGGGUCCCCAGAGAGGUGUCAGCAGUGCCCACCUGCUCCUCACCCCACCACCCUUCUUCCUCCCAGACAGCUGCUUCCUGGCAGCCUCCAGUCUCUUGACUCUUACCCUAAAGGAGGCUGAGAAAGGGAUUGCGUAUGUGAACAUCAGGCUAGCCAAAGUCGCUGACUUUAUGCAAAGCAGGCAAAUGCAGUCAAAACACUUACAGCAAUCAAUUCGAGUUGUUGGGUAAAGUUUUUUUUUCCAUGUCCCAUACAUUAUUGAACAGUUAAUUUCGUCUUUGUGCCUGCAAGACCUUCCAGCUCUCAGAUGACAGCUUUAUCCAUUAAGGAGCAAGCGGUGACAGCCUUACAGUGAGAGCCUUGCCAGUCCAGCCUGCCGGGAGGUGUGCUGGCAUCACCACCAAGAAAUCCUGGGACAUAUCAACAUCUUAAUCAAUAUUCGAGAGUCAAUUACUGGGGAAGUGAGGGCUUAAGCAGGAGCUGAUUAUGAGGUUCACGUGCAAAUGGGGCUUGAUCAAUAACGAAGCAGAAUCGCACAGGUGCCAUCACAGCAUUCCCCCCACAACAACAUCCAACUCCCUAACCCCUGCAAGAAGGCCCACAUGACCUCUUCUAGCAUCUUUUCAAACCCACCAGCCACCAAGUCCACUGGAGCUAGCUUGGUUCAUUUCCUUGAUAAGUGUACUGGGAAUGGAGAAAGCAGGGUUUAGGGAACACUCAAAGGCAAAUUUAUUGUUGGAUACACAAACUGAGCCCUUCUGAUAGGCUAUCUGGAAUCAAGACUUCCUCCCCAUGCACAUUUAACUGAACAAGUCCUCCCACUCUGUCUUUGUGAGAAGAGGCCUUGUAAAGGACGCUGAGUCUGAGUCUGUUGUGUUAUCUUUUCCUUGGGAGAUACAACGGGAUGUCCAGGCACCCCAGAGGGUCACCUAGGACAGACCAAAGCACGAUUGUAUCAAAGACAAACUUGGCGAGAGCAAGGAGCUUACUGGGCUUUCUCACAGUGCAUGGGUGAGGAUUAUCUAGGGGAGCAUGGAUGACCCCCAAACAGUGGCAUCACUACCAAGUCAUACCCCCAUCAUGGAUGGCAAUCUCACGGAAGUUUCCUUAUGGAGUCUAUUUUCAAUUAACCUUUUACUUCUCAUAGAUGUUCAUCUCUCCCCAAAUCACUUGAAGCUGGGGAAGAUGUACCAGCUAGGCUCCUGGGUAGAACUGUCCUGACAAUUGCUAGGGAAUGUCAGGGGCCCCAUUGACAUUCCCAUAGACUUGGCUAUCACAGUAUUGUUCCACUUUGGUUGUCAUGGCCAUUCAAACUCCAAGAUGACAUCAUGCUAUAUCUAAAAGAAAAGUCACUAUAUGUCAAAUAUCUUGACUCCCUUCCUCCUCUACUGCAUCUGCAACUUCCUAACUGGCACCUGGGCUCAAAAGUGUCUCCUGAAAUCUAUAUUUGAUUGGCUGUCAGUAAGAUGGAUCAUCCUGGGUAACAAAAUCCAAACUCCACUUUAUGUUUGCAAGACUUCCUAAGAUGUGACCCCAAUGAAGCUCAUGAUAUUAUAUGAAUUUUCUUCCUUAAGCAUUAGCAUGCUUUUUAUAACUUCAUAAUGGCUUUCCCUUCCUUUGUUACUUAGAGUCCCUGAAGCUGUCUCUAAUUCCCUGGGUAAGAGCUGAUGAUACCACAAAGUGUUGGAUUGAGGUUUGUGUCUGUUUUCAAGAUGAAUGUCUACAUAAUUGUUUUCAUCGUGAGAGUAUCUGCUCUAUGACAACAGACCUUGGAAAGCUGUUCAUGAGGGAAUUGAGCAUAUCUGGCUUCUCUCCUUAUAACUGAAGAUAUUGUCAUCAUUAAAAUCCAGGUGGGUCCCCUUGUCCUCCAACUCUGUGAUGUCUCCAUAUCUCUUUACUUUUUAUCUGUUUGAAUCUGCUUACAGAAUUCAUGCCCUAUAGGAAAUCUUCAUUUACAUAAUUACUUUAGCAUACAGGUAAACUGUAGUUCAGUGUCCUGACUUUCCCCUGGCAGUGUCUGGAUGCAACCCAUGUACCAGUUCAGGGAGGACUGGGCAAAGUCCAGAUCAGGGAGGCUGCAGGCCUCUUAUCCCUUUGGGGUGUUAGAACUUCUGGGACAAGCAGGAUUCCGGUCCAAUUGGGAGUGAGUGCUGAAUGGCAGAAGGGCAGGGGAAGAGAGAAGGACUUCUUCAGGAGUCUUAGUGUUACAUAUCAGUUUAGGGGAAGGACUUCACCAUGGUUAUCUUUAAUGAAGCAGCUCUCUAAGAUGAUCUUAGCUUGUUCAUAUUUCUCUAAUGGGGAUGGGCAUGAAUGUAUACACUUUAUUCAGGGUGAACAAGAGACUACGUAAUUUGGGAGAAGGGUGUGAGACUAUCCAGGAAGAGAAAGUUAUUGGCUGAAGGUUAAGGCUAUUUAGAUGCCUCAUUAGUAUGAAAAGACAUUCUAGGUGCUAUGUUACAUGAUUGCCUGCCUGUGGUCACCACAGUUGAGUGUCACGGUUAUGUGCUCCAGAGCAGGCAUAAAGGCAGGGUGGGAACAGUUUUAAUCCUCCUGUCUUAAAUCUCUGAGAUUCCCAGGAUUUGAGCAUGCUCCACCUCAACAGUCCUUAUGCCUAUCUGGUAGCAUGAUCCAGAAGUCCUACAGUAGACAUCACUGGAGAUUUGGAGAGAGGCCCAUUUAUACUCUGCUUGGAUAGUUCUCAUCUCAUUUCUGAGCUCUCACCCUGGGAAGCCAGAAGUUUCUCCCAACUGCAGCUUCAAGCAGCCACUACUUGGAGUACACUCUUCAGGUUAUUGCCUCAAGUUACCACUUGCCUUGCUUGUUCCACAGCUUUCUAACCAUCCUCAAGAGGAAUUCCUGUACAAAUGGCUAAGAGAAUAGAAGGGAGCUACAUUACAGUUAGUUGUCUACACCAUCUUUCUAAUCAUUUAUUUCUUUGGGUACUUCAUAGCCUUUAGGAUACAUAGUAAGAAAUAGUUAAGAGCCACAACAAAAAUAGGAAAUAGGCUGAAACAAAAUGACAACCUUUCUCCCUUUUCUAUAAGUGAGAAGCAUUGCUGGGGGGACUUUCUGAGCCAGAGUUGGAAUUCAAGAUUUCGAAGUCCUACAGGGCAUGGAUAGCAUAUACCAGUUUGAUAGAGGGAGUGCUUCUAGUGUGGUAGGCAUUCUUAUAGGAUGGGUAUUGCUGCCUCAGAAGGGCAGAGGCAGGUCUAGAAGGAGAGAAGGGGCCAUGCUGGUUCACGAUGACUCUGGGUAACUGUCACGUAGCCUCAGCAAAGUAAGAAAGGAGAUCAGGACUUGAAAGACAACAAGGACUGAGAAUGGCCCUGAUGCUGGUGCCCAGAAAGCUGAGAGAAUCUGUACAAUAAGGAUUAUUACAUAUUUUCUCUAAUUCACUGACAAGGGUAUUUGGACAGGUUAUAUUUAGGAAGAGUGAAGUUCUAGGCUGGAGUGAAUUGCCUCUGCAUCUGAGGACUGCUGCCUCAGGUGUGUGGAAGCUGACAGAAAGUACAGGCUGAGUGUACCAGAGAAGAUACGUCAAGGCAUGGAGGCAGCUCUCCUUUAUUAUAUACCCACUUUUGAAAAGACUUUUUCACGUUAUCUUCACUACACCCCUAUGAUACAUGUGUCAUCUGCACCAUCUCAUAAGUAUGGAAACUGCAAACAGAUUGGUGACUUGCAAGUUGGAGCUACAAUUCUGACUGGUCUUUGAAGGGUGUGUGCUAAAUAGAAUAAUACUACUUGAUUUCUGUGAUUAAUGAUGAAACAUGGUCCUAAAAGGGUCUAAAGUAAGUCUACAUUGUUGGGAUAGUUAUACUUGAACAUGAAUUUGAUAGAAAGUACAAAACUGAUCCGUGUCUCAUCUACUGGUUGCAAGGUCUUAGAGAAUGAAGAAAAAGUACCCAUGAAAAUAGCAACCCCAUCAUCACUACUAUUUAUGGGAUUGCUAUAUGCCAGGGUCUAUGCUGAAAGUUUAUGUGAAUUCUAUUAUUCUUUCCAAUCACCCAAACGCUUCCAUUCUAUAGACAGGAAAUGAGCUCAGAGAAAUUAAAUAAAAUUUCCAAGUUCACACACUAAUCAGGGUAGAAGUCAAAUUCAAGUCUUCUUUAGUUCUAGAUGUCCUUAAACUUUUGACCUGAAGGAAAGAUCUGAGGAUUUAAAGGAAAAGGUAUGGUUAGGCAAUUUCUCUUUCAGAAGAUGCAAAUGUAUAGACAUGAGACAAUUUUAAUUAAUAUUAUAGAUGGAAUUAUCUCUACAUAAAUUUCUCUCCCGAGUGUAAUAUUGUUUAGACUCAUUUUGAACAAAUAUUUAUUAGGCUCUACUGUGUACUAGGCAGUGGUAGACAAGACACUCUUGACUGUCUCCAAGCAUCCCAGAAAGUCAGGUAGUUAGGACAUCCCUAUGAAAAAUUCUAAGAACUGUGGGGACUCAAAGACAUUAAUCUAGUUUGUGGUGAUGUCUGAGCAGGCUCAUUGAGGAAGACAUGUAGAAACUCUGUUCUUGAUGCCAGAAGUCCUCCCUGUAUCUUUACUUUGACAUAGAAACUCCUUUCUGUAAUAACUCUAGAGUACGGCAGAAAAAGAGAUCUGAUACCCACAUGAAACAAUGAGAGACAUAGGUUUCUCAUAGGUUGAUGAGUUUGAGAGUUUAAGAGGCACUUCUUAGGACUAAAUGUCAGAGUAGAGAGCGUACGGCAUGAGCUAUGGAGAAGAACAGAUGAAGUUCUGAAGUGAGACCCGUCCUCCACAGCUUGACACUCUGAGGGCCUCCUUGGGUUGUUCACUUGCCAUUGUAUCUGACCUUAUCUUCGGUCUAUAAAGUGAGACAGGUAAACAUUACAUAUACCUCAUAGAAUUUGGAUGAGUACUCCAUAGCCUAUGAAUUCAAAUGGAGCAAAGCAAAUGGCACGUUUGAAGACUUUUGCUAACAGAAGUAUUAGGAUUAAUACAGGAGUACUAUUGUUGCCAUUGAGGAAGAGGAAUGCUUGAAAGUGGCUGUAGUACUUCCCAUGUGGGUGAUGGAGAAAGGGUUUGUUAGGAGGUAGAUUGGAUUUGGGGGUGAAACCAUCAUGUUUACAUAGCUCACGCUCAGGAGAUGGACACGUGAGAUCAACAUCCUAAAGUCAGGCCAGCAUGGAGCACAGAGAACUCAUGUCUGAGACUAUGAGACUAGAUAAGAGAAUCCAGAAAAUAUAAGACAGUGGGACAGAGAAUAAGAUGCUGUGUGUGGGCAGCUGCCUGAUUUCUGGACCAAGACAAACAAACCAAGACAACUCUGCUCCUGCAAUAGGAUGUUGUGGCUCUCAGGUUGCCUUAGCCAGUCACUUGACACCUUAACAGCCUGGGCUAAAGGAAGGCUGCUAUGUGGGCUAAAUUGUACAUGGUACUCUCAUGAAAAGAGGAAAGUUCCUGUGAUGAUUCACUGAAAGUCCUUACACCAGUUAUUUUCCAUUCCUGCUGUGAUAUCCCUGUAUACCUCAGGUUAUGACAUAAAUAUUGUAUGAAGUAUAGAGGGUUGAUAUAGUAUUGAUCUCAACACUAACUGGAAACUUAUUUUUUGUAAAGAAUUUGUUUUCUCCUUGUGAAAUUAUAAAACUUUAGACUAGACAAACAAUGGAAUUGUCACAUUGAAAUAUGUUAUGCAGUGCCUUCUAGGGUUACAAAAUACUUAAAUAUUUGUAAAAUUUCCUGUAAACUUGAUCUUCCAAGUCUAAAAUUGGGCAAAGAUUGGGGAUAUAACCCUAAGCAUAUGAGAUAUUCAAUACACAUGUCAUCUUCCCUUAUAUGAUAGUGGUCAAAAGGUGGCCUAUAGACAUGGUGGAGUGAGUUGUCUGAGGUAUUUCCAGGCUAGGUUAAACUCUAUGAAUAGGCUAGGAAAGAACAGAAAUUCACAUGAAAGCAAGACUCACAAAGAGAUUUAGAAUGAAGACUGGAAAAAUAUUCAUGCUGGACAACAGUUCCGGGAGGCAAGGACGGGGAGGAUGACCAUGGCUCAUUAAUGGCGUGUAGACACUACUAACCGAGAUCCCUUCUCUAACUGUGCAGAGUAUAGGGAAGCUUUCUCACCUUAAGUUCUGGCAAUGUCAUCCGGAAGACUGACCACUCUCAUGCUCCUGUGCUCCACAGUGUGUCUUCUUAGGAACAAGAAAACAGUAAAAGACAAGGCAUGAAAAGGUCCAAGUGAUGUGGACCGUGUACUUGCUGACCAUCUCCACAGAGGUCCCGUGCUGUCUCUUCAUCAUCCCUGUGGCUUAGUAGUUGGAACAGCUUUCGGGAAACCAGGCUCUUGGUACCAAAGACCAUUUCUAGCUCAAACCCAUGUCCUGAGUUUGACAGCCUUCAUUUUUAUCCAAUGGGGGUGGGUAACACACGAGGAAAAAAAAA